rnacentral:rRNA from 1 species
ACUAGUGGCGCACGGGUGAGGAACGCGUGGAUAAUCUGCCUUAGAGUGGGGGAUAACUAGUCGAAAGAUUAGCUAAUACCGCAUAAGACCACAGGAGCUGCGGCUCUAGGGGUCAAAGGUUUUUCGCUCUAAGAUGAGUCCGCGUAAGAUUAGCUAGUUGGUGAGGUAACGGCUCACCAAGGCGACGAUCUUUAACUGGUCUGAGAGGAUGAUCAGUCACACUGGAACUGAGACACGGUCCAGACUCCUACGGGAGGCAGCAGUAGGGAAUAUUGCACAAUGGAGGAAACUCUGAUGCAGCGACGCCGCGUGAGUGAUGAAGGCCUUCGGGUCGUAAAGCUCUGUCGCAGGGGAAUAACACAAUGAAUGUACCCUGUAAGAAAGGAUCGGCUAACUUCGUGCCAGCAGCCGCGGUAAGACGAGGGAUCCUAGCGUUGUUCGGAAUUAUUGGGCGUAAAGCGGAUGUAGGUGGCUUUGUAAGUCAGAUGUGAAAGCCCAGGGCUCAACCCUGGAAGUGCAUUUGAUACUGCGAAGCUUGAGUGUCGGAGAGGUUACUAGAAUUGUUGGUGUAGUGGUGAAAUACGUAGAUAUCAACAGGAAUACCGGAGGCGAAGGCGGGUAACUGGCCGAACACUGACACUGAGAUCCGAAAGCGUGGGGAUCAAACAGGAUUAGAUACCCUGGUAGUCCACGCCGUAAACGAUGGAUACUUGUUGUUGGAGGUAUUGACCCCUUCAGUGA